CGGAUGGCCGCCGACGACAAAUACUGCCGCUGAAAGCUGACUGAUUUCUGCGCAUUACAGUCCGGAGCUCUAAGUCGAUAAACAAAAUUACUCAACCUGUGGCAAACGGACGUCCACCACCUAAAAACUAACCAGCCCUAUUUACACCAUCAUUCUGUCCAGGUGCUUGCAAACACACUGAUUUUCGGUCAGAUACACCUAUGCAAUUCUUCUAAACAAAAGCACAAUACAAAAUGGGUCUCCACUGAGUAGGACACUGCUGAUACAUUAUAUACAUAUAUCCAGCUCUAUAAAUGGCUAAACAUGGGGUGAGACGUGCCAGCCGGACUUCAUAAUUCGCCUUCAGCUUCUGAUUGAGCCGUGAAGCCUCCUCCAGUGGGGGGGGAGAAACGGCGAUGCAGCUCCUCCUCCGUCAGACAAGACCCGGCGGUGUCGGGUGGGGGUGUCACCAGACUCGAGCUUGGGUGCUGGAAACACUGCAGGAGGACGCAGGGGGCAGUGUGCAGCCACUGGAAC